rnacentral:rRNA from 1 species
UUGAACGCUGGCGGCAGGCCUAACACAUGCAAGUCGAGCGGAUGAAGGGAGCUUGCUCCUGGAUUCAGCGGCGGACGGGUGAGUAAUGCCUAGGAAUCUGCCUGGUAGUGGGGGAUAACGUCCGGAAACGGGCGCUAAUACCGCAUACGUCCUGAGGGAGAAAGUGGGGGAUCUUCGGACCUCACGCUAUCAGAUGAGCCUAGGUCGGAUUAGCUAGUUGGUGGGGUAAAGGCCUACCAAGGCGACGAUCCGUAACUGGUCUGAGAGGAUGAUCAGUCACACUGGAACUGAGACACGGUCCAGACUCCUACGGGAGGCAGCAGUGGGGAAUAUUGGACAAUGGGCGAAAGCCUGAUCCAGCCAUGCCGCGUGUGUGAAGAAGGUCUUCGGAUUGUAAAGCACUUUAAGUUGGGAGGAAGGGCAGUAAGUUAAUACCUUGCUGUUGUGACGUUACCAACAGAAUAAGCACCGGCUAACUUCGUG